AUCUGCCCUUAGGUACGGAAUAACAGUGAGAAAUUACUGCUAAUACCGUAUGAUGACGUAAGUCCAAAGAUUUAUCGCCUAGGGAUGAGCCCGCGUAGGAUUAGCUAGUUGGUGAGGUAAAGGCUCACCAAGGCGACGAUCCUUAGCUGGUCUGAGAGGAUGAUCAGCCACACUGGGACUGAGACACGGCCCAGACUCCUACGGGAGGCAGCAGUGGGGAAUAUUGGACAAUGGGCGGAAGCCUGAUCCAGCAACGCCGCGUGAGGGAUGACGGCCUUCGGGUUGUAAACCUCUUUCAGUACCGACGAAGCGAGAGUGACGGUAGGUACAGAAGAAGCACCGGCCAACUACGUGCCAGCAGCCGCGGUAAUACGUAGGGUGCGAGCGUUGUCCGGAAUUAUUGGGCGUAAAGGGCUCGUAGGCGGUUUGUUGCGUCGGGAGUGAAAACAUCGGGCUUAACUCGAUGCUUGCUUUCGAUACGGGCAGACUUGAGGUAUGCAGGGGAGAAUGGAAUUCCUGGUGUAGCGGUGA
rnacentral:rRNA from 1 species